rnacentral:lncRNA from 1 species
UUUGCUGGUCUUCUUCAGAUUUGCUUACGCAGAGGCCGGUAUAAAUUUCCAGGUGGAAGAGACGAGUUGCUGACAUGUUUGUUUGGUCUGAGCCAGAGCUGUCAGCCUGGCCUGCCCGGGCCUCAGAGCGUUGGGCUCUUGACUUCCCCGGGCCUGUUCCCCAGAUAAUACAGGAUAGUAUUGUGAUAAGAGGAUGGAAACCAAGCUCUGCUCCGUGCUAGCUGUGCGACGUCGGGCAAUCUCCCAGAUGGACACACGGCCCUUCAGCUAUAUGACCGUUCCCUCGCUCCUCUGUCAUUGGAUGUAGCCACGGGACUAAGUCUUCAGUGGAUGUGAGUGGAGGCGGUAUGCACCAUGGGACACACUUUUUCUCCUUCCUGACAGCUGGGAUAAUGUUGUUCAUUAUCUGUGGGACACAGCAGGUGCAUAAACUGUCACCGCUUUGCGAUGGGAUUAGUUA